UACGUAGGGGGCUAGCGUUGUCCGGAAUCAUUGGGCGUAAAGAGCGCGUAGGCGGCUAGAUAAGUCCGGUGUGAAAGUCACAGGCUCAACCUGUGAAUGCCGCUGGAAACUGUCUGGCUAGAGUCCGGAAGGGGCGAGUGGAAUUCCUGGUGUAGCGGUGAAAUGCGCAGAUAUCAGGAGGAACACCGAUGGCGAAGGCAGCCCCCUGGGUCAAGAUUGACGCUCAUGCACGAAAGCGUGGGAGCAAACAGG
rnacentral:rRNA from 1 species